rnacentral:rRNA from 1 species
CCUACGGGUGACAGCAGUGGGGAAUCUUCCGCAAUGGGCGAAAGCCUGACGGAGCAACGCCGCGUGUACGAAUGAAGGCCUUCGGGUGGAAAAGAUCUGCUGACAGGGACGAAUAAGCAAGGCAAAUAGCUUUGUGUAUGACGGUACCUGUUUAGAAAGCCACGGCUAACUACGUGCCAGCAGCCGCGGUAAUACGUAGGGAGCAAGCGUUGUCCGGAAUUACUGGGCGUAAAGGGCGCGUAGGUGGGCGCUUAAGUCAGGUGUGAAAACUCCGGGCUCAACCUGGAGACUGCACUUGAAACUGGUUGUCUUGAGGGCAGGAGAGGAAAGUAGAAUUCCUAGUGUAGCGGUGAAAUGCGUAGAGAUGAGGAGGAACACCAGUGGCGAAGGCGACUUUCUGGACUAUACCUGACGCUGAGGCGCGAAAGCGUGGGUAGCGAACGGGAUUAGAUACCCCUGUAGUC